CGCGGCCUAUCAGCUUGUUGGUGAGGUAACGGCUCACCAAGGCGACGACGGGUAGCCGGCCUGAGAGGGCGACCGGCCACACUGGGACUGAGACACGGCCCAGACUCCUACGGGAGGCAGCAGUGGGGAAUAUUGCACAAUGGGCGAAAGCCUGAUGCAGCGACGCCGCGUGAGGGAUGACGGCCUUCGGGUUGUAAACCUCUUUCAGCAGGGAAGAAGCGAAAGUGACGGUACCUGCAGAAGAAGCGCCGGCUAACUACGUGCCAGCAGCCGCGGUAAUACGUAGGGCGCAAGCGUUGUCCGGAAUUAUUGGGCGUAAAGAGCUCGUAGGCGGCUUGUCACGUCGGUUGUGAAAGCCCGGGGCUUAACCCCGGGUCUGCAGUCGAUACGGGCAGGCUAGAGUUCGGUAGGGGAGAUCGGAAUUCCUGGUGUAGCGGUGAAAUGCGCAGAUAUCAGGAGGAACACCGGUGGCGAAGGCGGAUCUCUGGGCCGAUACUGACGCUGAGGAGUGAAAGCGUGGGGAGCGAACAGGAUUAGAUACCCUGGUAGUCCACGCCGUAAACGGUGGGCACUAGGUGUGGGCAACAUUCCACGUUGUCCGUGCCGCAGCUAACGCAUUAAGUGCCCCGCCUGGGGAGUACGG
rnacentral:rRNA from 1 species